rnacentral:SRP_RNA from 1 species
GCAGCCGGGGCGUUAGCGGUGCCUUUUACCUACAAUCCGCUAUAGUAGGGGUGUUGGAUGGCAGAGGGUUUUUAUCUAUGUAGCUGCCCUUUAUAAGUGGCGAUGAAGUUUGGGUCUUGCGCAAUACGUGCUUUUGAACCGUGUCAGGGCAGGAAUGCAGCAGCACUAAGAUUGAUUUCGUAUGUGCCGCAAGGGUGCCUGGCGGAGUUAACUGUAAAGGUA